AUGAAAAUUUAAUCAGUGUUGUCUAUAAAAGUCAUUAGUAUUGAGAAUUUGCAUAAAAUAAAGACAUAUUGGAACCAUAAGCUUGUACAAUAAUUGAUACUAAUAGAUGUGCACAAAUCAGUGAAACAAUAUCACAUAACAAAACUAGUUUUGAAGUACCAAAUUUCAGCAGUACUACUUUAAUUAGUUUGCAAAUUCACUAAAAACUCAAUUAUCUUUAGAUUGUCAUGAAAAUUUUUAGGCAUGCACUAGACAUAUAUGACUACUAUUUCGCAAAAUUUCAUGAUUUUAAAAUUUUUUAAGUGAGCCAAACAUGAUUUCGAAAAGAGAGGUUCUUUAGGAACUGCAGAAAAUGUUCAGUACAGACCUGAGAUUACAAAUUCACCAAAUAUUCAUUGUUCAUCUGAUAUGCAUGAAAAUUUUCAGAUAUAAAGUAAAUAUACAAAUCUGUUAAUUCCCAAAAUUGUAUAAGUUUUGAGAAUUUACAAGUGUACUAAAAGAAAAUACAAAAUGGGAUGUGCUGCAGAAACGACAAAAUUCUGCAGUACAUAUCAGAGACUAAAUAAUUCACCAAAAAUUCAAUUUUUUUCUCCAAUAUGGAUGAAAAUUUCCAGCAAUAAAGUAGACAUAUAAAUUUAUUGUCACCCAAAGUUCCAUGAUUUUUGCGAUUUUAAAAGUGGGCUAAAUAUAAAAUCGAAAUGGAAUUUGCUACAGAAACGACAUAAAUUAUGCAGGACAAUCCCGAGAUUAAAAAAACAAAUUCACCAAUAAUUCAUUUCCAAACCAAUGCUUGUGAAAAUUUCUAGAUUUGAAAUAAAUAUCUCAAUGUAUAUCAUACUAAAAUUUCAUGAAUUUAUCAAUUACAUAAAUAUAUCAAAAUAAUAUUACAAACACACUAUUCUGCAGAAGUCUUGCAGGCUUCCAGCAACAUGGUAUCACACUUAAAAAUUUACCAUAAAUCCAUUUCUUGUCCAAAAAGUAGGAAACAAUACCAGCGUCUACAAUCCAUUUGAUAUUACAACAUGACAAAAUUUCAUAAUAUUUGGAGUUAUGAAAGUCUAUCAAGCCCAGUUUAUUGACAUGAAUGGUUUUUCUUAUGAAAAUUACGUCAGUUAUAUAGAACACUAAAAGUAAUAUUCAUUGAAAUGAUAGAAGCGACUAUCAUUUCAUAGAGAAAUAACCAAGAACCAAAACUUACUUAUUCAUUUGCAUAUGCACUAUUAGGAUAAGAGUCGAAAAAUGCAAAAUUGAAUUAAUCCCAAAUGAAAACACUAUAAUGUUGCAUAAAAUCCAAAUUUGAGAAUGAAAAUAUAUAAUUAAUUCCUUUUAAUGAGACUUUAAUGGAGACACGACUUUGGCUGUUGGUGACAAGAUUAUAAUCUUACCCCCAUAAUAAUUAUAGUUUGAAAAGAUUAUUAUUUAGCAUGAUUAAUUUUGACAAAAGUUUAGGCAAAAAUGAUUCACACCACAAUUGAAUUUCUUACAAAAUUGAAAACCCCAAUACGAACCGACUGAAAGCAAUUCAUAAUAAUGUAAGUAAUCACACAUCAAAAUUAUGACAUUAAGCAGUCCUUCAUAAUACAAUAAUUUGUUUAUAUAUACGUAAGUUGCCAAAUAGUUUCACCUAUCAGUUCAUCAAAACAAACAAAUUGGGAAUGCCUUUUUAGAACAUGUUAAUUGACCAUAGUAAAUCCAAAUUUUAAAGCAUGAAAUCAUGAAAUCCAAUACAAUAUUCAUCCUGAAACCUCACAUUUGCAAGAGUUAAUUCGAUAAUUUGACAGAAUCCUAACAGAGAACAACCCAAAAUAUAAGCAAACUAGCCAAAAAUUUAGAUUUUGCAACGCAAUAAGCGGAAGCGUAAAUUCUCAACUUCAUCAAUUUUGAGAUGGAGAAAUUAAAUAAGAAAAUAAAGGUUGAUUGCCCAGAAUCAACGAUGCCUUUAUCUAAUUCACAAUUUAGUUGGAAUCAAAAGCUUUAUUUUAACUCAAC
rnacentral:lncRNA from 1 species